rnacentral:snoRNA from 1 species
AAGGGACUCUGGAUGAUGAUAACCAAUUGUGCAUAGUUCAACUGAAGAAUUAGUUCAUAUGAAGACAAAACUUCCAUCGAAUUUAGUCUUUCGCUCCUAUCUGACCAAAGUCCAUC